GGGUCGGAUUGCUGGGUACCUUACUCUGAUUGAAGACUUAUCGUCAGCCUGACACGCUGAAGGUCCCCGGUUCGAACCCGGGCGGGCCCA
rnacentral:tRNA from 1 species